rnacentral:lncRNA from 1 species
AGGAGCCUAUUAAUGAGCUGCCUUCCCUGAUGUCAGGACUGAAACUUGAGAAACAAGUGUCUCUGAAAUCCCUGGAUCAUCUUAUGUUCUGGCAGUUUCUACCUGCUGUUAAUGAAGGACAAAUCAUCUCUUUCCAACUAGAUGGGGAACGCAGACUCCUGAGAAGUCACACCUUAAAACUGAGAGCAGAAGUAUGUGAGACCAGGUACCCCAACCCCCCACCUCCAACCACACACGCAGAGGAAACCAGGAAUGCGCGACAGCCUACCAACCUUGGCCUUCAGUUUCUCUCUCCUCCUGGGCCUUAAGGAGAGCUCACAGGUGACUGCAGCAGCUGGAAUUUUGGAUGCUGGGGCCUCUCCCUAUGUGUCAAAGUGUGAGACUCUACUUCCCAGACAUGCCCUGAACACAACUUUCCCUGCCACCCAGUGAAACAGCUUGAACUCACCUUCUCAGAAAGAUCAACUCCGAUAGAGCUAGCAGGCCCAGCGCACGUCGGAGCCUGCCUAUGUAGAACCUAGAUCAUCACACCCAGAACCUUCUCAUUUUCUAAUCAAGCUCAGCUCACUACCUGCAGGAUUUAGCUCUUUGGGUCCUGAUUCUAGUGGGAACAGGGAAGAUUGGGGAAUGCAGGACCGUCACAUCAAAGCUUAGGCUGAAAAUUCCCCAGUGCUCUUUAUUCAUGCCUACUAUGUACCCCAGGCAUGAUGUCAUAUAACACACACCCCAGAUAGGCUUGUGCCACUCUUUCCACUUGAAUCUCUGAGAUAAGGGGCCUCACCUGGUGCGUGUCAGCCCUGUGAUGCAGCUGCCUGGAGGAGGAAGAGCAGUUUGGUGCUUUCAUCAGUGGGACUGCCUAUAGUAGCACCUCCCCUUUCCUGUGACCCCAGUGACAUGGGGGAAUCCAGUGUGUGCUGAUUGUCCCAGAAGGGGGUUGGGAAUGAUAGGAGGGUAUGGAAGGCAGAAUAAUGCCCCCCCGCCAAAGAUGUCCACGUCCUAAACCCCAGAACCUGUGAAUACGUGACCUUACUUGGCAAAUGUGUGAUGAAUAAUUGUGAACCAAAAACCCAAACUCUGUAAAAAUAUUUAAAGGAGUUUAUUCUAAGUCAAUAUGAGUGACCAUGGCUCCAGGAAGAGUCUCGGGUGUCCUGAGAAAGUGUGC